AGCGUGGGAUCAACUACAGAUCUCACGUAUUUAUCGACGUGCUCUUAUCCCUCGGUAAUUGAUGGAAAACGAAGGCAUUUGGCGAGGGUUCAACGAGGGAAAAAAAAAAGAUCGACUUUUUGGCCAUCUGGUACGUGUUUAGCGAGAGAAUACCGACAGAGCAUAUGCACGCUAUGUUUUUAACAUUGACGAUCUCUCGCUAAAAUUGACGCUCCAAUUCCAAACGUUGUAUGACGACAAGAACGGACCAUUGUGGCUUCUGAUUCUGACAGCCUUCACAAUUUUAAAAUCUGAAAUUAUUCUUCGUUAACUUCCGAUUCAGUGUACAUUUGCAGAAGUAUUAACUGGAAAACCACUUUUCCUUGAUAAAAGUGUUGUUCAUUCGUUGGAAUUAAUACCUAAUCUUCUUGGGACACCUUCAGCAGAUACCAUUUAUUGUCAAGUCCGCCUGGUAGACGAAAGGAAGUUGAUUAUGGAACGUCUAAUUAGGCGUUGGGUCGAUGCCCGAGUGGUUAAUGGGGACGGACUGUAAAUUCGUUGACAAUAUGUCUACGCUGGUUCAAAUCCAGCUCGGCCCAAAAAUUCGCCAAUAUACUAUCAAAUGGUAGAACCCUCUUGUUCUUAAGAAAUACCUGAUAAGAGAGAAUAAAAAAGAAGCCAAAUUUUCUGUUAGAUCUCUUCUUAUAUCCCUGGGAUUGUAGUUCAAUAGGCAAGGGCGCAAUAGAUGCCAAACAACAACAAAUUGAUGCAAAAUAUGAAGCAAUAGAGAAGAUGUAUACAACCUUGCAAAAUAUGAUGGGAAAUUGAAAAUUAGAGGAAUGAGAACCGAAGAUGAUUGGAUGGACAUGAAAUGAAGAGAGCAGCUAAAAUGUUAUUUUGAAGUUAUGUUUUGUGAAAACUCAUUUCCCGAUGCAUACUUUGGAUUUCUUGAUGCUAAAAUGUUAUUUUGAAGUUAAACCUUUAGGAGUUUGAUGUUAUAUGGAUAGUUUUGGUUUUGGAUGUUUUUUGAAUAAUACUUUGGUAAACUUUGAUAAUUUGUGUAUUGUAAUGUUUGGUUGUAUCGUUAUUUGAUGAUUUUUAGUAUAAAAAUUUGAUGAUUGUAGUA